rnacentral:rRNA from 1 species
GACGAACGCUGGCGGCGUGCUUAACACAUGCAAGUCGAACGGAAAGGCCCUGCUUUUUUGGGGUGCUCGAGUUGCGAACUGGUGAGUAACACUUGAGUUACCUGUCCUUGACUUUGGGAUAACUUCAUGAAACUUGGUCUAAUACCGGAUAGGAGCUCCUGCUUUUUGGUGGGGGUUGGUAAGUUUCGGCGGUUGGUGAUGUACUCGCGUCUUAUCAGCUUGUUGGUGGGGUAGUGGCUUACCAAGGCGUUGACGGGUAGCCGGCCUGGGAGGGUGACCGGCCACAGUGGGACUGGGAUACGGCCCAGACUCCUACGGGAGGGAGCGGUGGGGAAUAUUGCACAAUGGGCGGAAGCCUGAUGCAGCAACGCAGCGUGCGGGAUGACGGCAUUCGGGUUGGAAACCGAUGUCGCCUGUGACGAAGCGUGAGUGACAGUAAUGGGUAAAGAAGCACCGGCUAACUACGUG